rnacentral:rRNA from 1 species
AGUGAACGCUGGCGGUAGGCCUAACACAUGCCAGUCGAACGGCAGCACAGUAAGAGCUUGCUCUUACGGGUGGCGAGUGGCGGACGGGUGAGGAAUACAUCGGAAUCUACUUUUUCGUGGGGGAUAACGUAGGGAAACUUACGCUAAUACCGCAUACGACCUACGGGUGAAAGCAGGGGAUCUUCGGACCUUGCGCGAUUGAAUGAGCCGAUGUCGGAUUAGCUAGUUGGCGGGGUAAAGGCCCACCAAGGCGACGAUCCGUAGCUGGUCUGAGAGGAUGAUCAGCCACACUGGAACUGAGACACGGUCCAGACUCCUACGGGAGGCAGCAGUGGGGAAUAUUGGACAAUGGGCGCAAGCCUGAUCCAGCCAUACCGCGUGGGUGAAGAAGGCCUUCGGGUUGUAAAGCCCUUUUGUUGGGAAAGAAAAGCAGCAGGUUAAUACCCCGCUGUUCUGACGGUACCAAAGAAUAAGCACCGGCUAACUUCGUG